GCCUUCGUUCCUUAACAGCAUGAUGAAGUUUAAUUCUCUCGCACGGGCUCGAGUGAUUGGCCCAACUGGAUGAGCAACUGUAGGCGCCUGAGGUGGAGGAGCAAUUUGAGGCGCCUGAGGUGCUGCUGGUGUAGAUGUACUCGUGGUGUCCUCAUCAUCCUCCCCUUCUUGAACUGAAGUCGUCCUCGACGGCAACUCCUC
rnacentral:lncRNA from 1 species